CAAUAGCGUAUAUUAAAGUUGUUGCAGUUAAAAAGCUCGUAGUUGGAUUUGUGGCGUACGGUGUGUUCCGGGCACUUGUUGUCUGAGUAACCUGCUGUUGCCAUCCUUGGGUGGAACCUGUGUGGCAUUAGGUUGUCGUGCAGGGGAUGCCCAUCAUUUACUGUGAAAAAAUUAGAGUGUUCAAAGCAGGCUAUGCCGUUGAAUAUAUUAGCAUGGAAUAAUGAGAUAGGACUUUUUUGCUAUUUUGUUGGUUUGCGCAAAGAGGUAAUGAUUAAUAGGGACAGUUGGGGGUAUUCGUAUUCCAUUGUCAGAGGUGAAAUUCUUGGAUUUUUGGAAGACGAACUACUGCGAAAGCAUUUACCAAGGAUGUUUUCAUUAA
rnacentral:rRNA from 1 species